UACGUAGGGUCCGAGCGUUGUCCGGAAUUAUUGGGCGUAAAGAGCUCGUAGGCGGUUUGUCGCGUCUGCUGUGAAAUCCCGAGGCUCAACCUCGGGUCUGCAGUGGGUACGGGCAGACUAGAGUGCGGUAGGGGAGACUGGAAUUCCUGGUGUAGCGGUGAAAUGCGUAGAUAUCUGGAGGAACACCGGUGGCGAAAGCGGCCUACUGGACCAUCACUGACGCUGAGGUGCGAAAGCUAGGGUAGCAAACGGG
rnacentral:rRNA from 1 species